UUUCAUCAGCCUCACUUCUAUGAACUCUCAGAGCUGAUUACCAACUCCUACCACUGUUAACCCUCAUCCAGGAACAAGCUUAUGUCUUUAACAUUCUGAGUGGGCUUCAGCAUCCUUGCAUAUGUUCAAUUCUUAAAAACCUGUUGAAAUAAAAGAUCAGGAGACAUAGGAAGGAUGCCAGAAGAGAGCGUGGCCUCACGUGUACCAGCUCUCUGCUCUCCUUUGCCUUGGGACGUUCCAUCCCUGGAAGUUUCCCUGCCCACAUCUUUGUAGAGAGUCCAUUCUCCAAGCUUCAGUGUGUCAUCUGUGAGGACCGUGACCCACCUGGUACAUCGCCUCAGGGCAUUCAUUUCAGGCUCCUUCUAAAUGGCCAAGUUUUCAAGAUUGUUUUGGCUCUAGCAAAACAAGUUGGAACAUUCACAUCAUCCAGUAAACCUCAGGUUCUCCUCCUGCCUUUUGCUAAGUAUAUGUCUUGAUGACAAGCCUUCUGCUGAUGAGCUGUGUUUCUGGACCGAUCAUGGUAGAAGUCAAUUAACGUGUCCCUCACUUGGGGUUUCUCAAGGUCAUCUAUGAACUGACUCUGUCUCAAAAAAAAAAAGAAAAAAAAGAAAAGAAAGAAUGAAAAAAAAAACUAGGACAUGGCUAACAGGAAUGGGGACAAAGAAUCUGCACUGAUGAGGAAACUGAAACAGAAAAUCCAGAGUAAAUUCCACCAGGCCACACAGCAAGGUCUGAUAGAGCCAGGAGAGACUUUAUGAAAUCCAGACUCUCACACUAAUGCUCUAUCAGCUAGACCUCCAUGUGAGUCUCCCCAAUGUAGGUAGGAAGUGCUUUCCC
rnacentral:lncRNA from 1 species